AAUAUAUGAUUCUUAAACAGUCUGAACUUAACACAAAAAGAUCUAUCCAUCUGUGAAGUUUCAAAUUAAUAUUUCCAAUACUUUUAAAGUUGUAUGAUUAAGACAAAAAAUAAGCAAGGAAAAGUACAAAAGGGAAAUAACCCCCAAAUCAUACAAUAAAGAGUUAUGGUUCUUAGGCAUUGCACUUCUCAUAAAUGAGAUCUACUUAUAUGAGGAGAUUUAGAAUUAUUGUCUCUAACAUUUUUGUGAACAACUUACAAAAGGCAAUAAACUCCAUUACUUUGCAGGAGAGUUAUGUAUAAUUAAGAAAAAAAACAUGAAUCAAACUUGUUAUCAAUAUCAAAUAUUUAAAUGCUACUAGUAUUUGAUAGAAAUACAAUAAUGAAGCAAUGUGCUUAUACAUUAUACCCCACUGUGAAACUAAGUCAUAGUAUGCCCUUGAGGCUUUAAAUCUAUUGUACAAAUAAUGCCUGGUAAUUUCUUAUAACCAAGAAAAGUAAAUACUGCACCCCACUAAGAUUUAACAACACAGAUCUGAUAAAACUACUUCCCUCUUAUCUACAUACAUAUCUGCAUGGCGGUUAAUACUCACUCUGUUUACUCAUGCUGACCAGACUGUUCUAUUUGGUUAUUUUGGGAGAGGCUACAAUAUACAUUUUAUGUGUAGAAUCUGUGUUAAAAUAACAUGCUAAAUUAUCUUUCAAAAACAUAAUUAUUCACUAUUUAUUUAGGUAUUAAACAUAGUUUAUACAUAUAAAUGAAUGUAAAAAAUAAAAUGAUGGGUGAUUUAGUUUUUGGAUAUCCCUCAGAGUUUAAAAUUAUAAUGGAACCUUUCAGUAAUACAGUAACAGUUUGAAUUCAAAGGAAUUGAGGUCAGUGCAAAUACAAAGGAAACAUUGAUAUUGUAGAAAUUCUGUAGAUAUUAUUGUGUUUUAAAUGUAAGGAUGCAUAUUUCUAAUUUAUCAAAGAAAACAUUUAAAGUCUUACUAGAGUGGUAAAUAGAAAUGAGAAGAAUUUUAACCGAAGUGUGAAUGUGUAGAUUAUAACAUUGGACAAGAAGAUAAACAGCAGAAUCAUUCAAAGUCAAAACUUCAGGCUUGGACCAUGCAGUACAGACUGUGAGAUGCUGUCUGAAUGUUUAUGUGUGCAACAUUUAACUAGCGUAAAGCCCAGAAAGGUGAACUGAACACAACCCUGUGAAAUUCCUGGUGUUCGAAACCAAAGCAAAGUGCUGGAACAGAUGGACAUGAUAUUGUUGGAACAACAUUACAAAUGGUGCAUUGAGACACAAGAUUCUUAAAAGGUCACAAAAAGGAGAGGCUACAACUGCAACUAGAUUGAACAGCAAGUGAAAAAAUCAACUCAUUCCAUGAACUUAGUAAAACAAAU